UGCGAAGCGAAGCAGCGAUGUGAAGCAAAUACGCACCAAAGACCGGUCCCAGUUCGGAUAAGAGGCUGAAACUCGCCUCUUUGAAGUCGGAAUCGCUAGUAAUCGCAGAUCAGCAUGCUGCGGUGAAUACGUUUCCUGGUCUUGUACACACCGCCCGUCAAACCAUGAGAGUCGCCAACACCCGAAGUCCGCUUUGCGGCCUAAGGUGGGGGAGAUGAUUGGGGUUAAGUCGUAACAAGGUACC
rnacentral:rRNA from 1 species